AUACGUAGGGUGCAAGCGUUAAUCGGAAUUACUGGGCGUAAAGCGUGCGCAGGCGGUUUUGUAAGACAGAGGUGAAAUCCCCGGGCUCAACCUGGGAACUGCCUUUGUGACUGCAAGGCUAGAGUACGGCAGAGGGGGAUGGAAUUCCCCGUGUAGCCGUGAAAUGCGUAGAUAUGCGGAGGAACACCGAUGGCGAAGGCAAUCCCCUGGGCCUGUACUGACGAUCAUGCACGAAAGCGUGGGGAGCAAACAGGAUUAGAUACCCUGGUAGUCCACGUCCUAAACGAUGUCAACUGGUUGUUGGGUCUUCAUUGACUCAGUAACGAAGCUAACGCGUGAAGUUGACCGCCUGGGGAGUACGGCCGCAAGGUUGAAACUCAAAUGAAUUGACGGGG
rnacentral:rRNA from 1 species